UUGGGAAUGAAGUUCUCCCUGGGGAAACCUGAACCGCUUUUUAUAGCUGAUGACUUCUACGA
rnacentral:ncRNA from 1 species